rnacentral:rRNA from 1 species
UACAGAGGGGGCAAGCGUUGUUCGGAAUUACUGGGCGUAAAGCGCGCGCAGGCGGCCCUUUAAGUCCGUCGGUCAAAUGCCGGGGCUCAACCCCGAUGCAUGCCGAGGAUACUGGAGGGCUGGAGACACGUAGAGGCAAGCGGAAUUCCGGGUGUAGCGGUGGAAUGCGUAGAGAUCCGGAAGAACACCGGAGGCGAAGGCGGCUUGCUGGGCGUGAUCUGACGCUGAGGCGCGAAAGCGUGGGGAGCGAACAGG